AUCUCUGUGUGUGCACACGUGUGUGCAGGUGCACAGGCCAGUCUCCUGGGGCUCUGCUGAUCCCUGGGGGGGAUACGCCCUCCCAACUUCAGGUCUCAGCUGAUGCUGAUGUGUCUCCGCCCUCGGCCUGUCACCUCCUACCACAGCAUUCGGUUUUCUCUUCAUAGCGCUCAGAGGCACCUGUGGUGACAUUAUGACUUUUAUUGCUGAUGUGCUCCGUGUCUCCCCAAGGGCUGCUGUCGUUCCCAGCGGUGGACUUCGAGGGCAGCAAACAGGCUGGGAGCAGCUGGGUCCUGCAGCAGAGAGCUGGAGAGGAAUAGCUUUCGUCCUCACCCUUCCUGCCAGGAGGACCUCUGGGAGCUGACUGCUCCCGGGCUCCGCCUUCAGGCCUCGUCACCACCCACUGUGUAUCAGGAACCUCCCAAGCAUUUCAGUUUGCAGAGCUGGCUGGACACAUUACAUAGCGAGUGGCCGGCAGCAGUGAGUCCCAACCGUGACCUUCGCCCCGGAAGGAGGUCGCUUUAUUUUGAAGCUGCGUUGAACUGUGCAUCGGCUGAGACCUGCCUUUUCUCCCCCAGUGAAGAGAUUAAAAUCCUUAAAUGCCUUCUGGCAAAAGGGACAGCUGCCUCUUUAUCCUUAAAAUGCAAGUCAGCAAGGAACACACUGGCCAGGGCCCGUGUGGGUUGGAGGAAGGCUGCCUGUCCCUGUGACCUAACCCCAUUGAUUUCCCCAAUCUGAUGAGACCUGGGCAGUGAUCGAUAUCCGUGCAUUUCUGCGAGUGAAUGCAGAGGGAAGCGGGAGGCGGGGAGCCAUGCGCCGGGGACACCAGCGCACGGGCCGGCCCUGCCAGCCGUGGGAGAGCCCACCCCUCUGGCCGGAGCUGCACCCCAAAGGCAGGAUGGUGAUGAGCAACGGUCGGCCACACACGGAUCACAGGACCCCAGUGGGCUUCGGGUGGAUGGGAAAAAUAAUUCACGUGGCACGGUCUGACCCCAGCUCACCUGGCGUCCGGUGUCCCCAGCAGCUGUCCGCUGGAGGACUUUCUGCAUCUGGCUUCACCUUCUGUCCGCUCCUGCCCUGGAGACGCUCAGCCUUCUUACCCACUGGCUCCGUUCAGCUUGUAGUCUCAGUGCCUUGAACCCAGACCUGGGCAGCCGAUUCAUGCUUUGUUGAAUGACUGAGUGCAUUUCUGGUGGGGCUGUCCUGUCCCCUUUCACUGUGUCUGGCCACUAUUUGCGCUUCUCUGUCCCUCGUCCCUUGGCCCAGGAUUUCUGUGUGGGGCAUGUGCCCGGAUAUUUCCACUCUUGGAAAUCCUACACAGCCUUCAGAACCCCACUCAAAUGUCACCUCCUCCAGGAAGCCUUCUGUCACCUCCAGCUAGAAGUGGUCCUUCCCUGCCUGAGUUCAGGCUGGGUGCUUAGUGGUCUCAGAGGUGUCCCUUCCAGUAAUGAUGGCUGCUUCUUUUUUGUUCUUGCUAAAUAUUGCCGUCAUGGUAGACUGUCCUUGGACUCAUCUGGGGUUCCUUCUGAGAGGAAGCUGGAUUUGGAACGUCCUCUCAUUUCUAUGCCUCGGCUGGAAAUACUGCUCCUGCACCAACACUCUGAAGCCCAGUCUUAGAUCCAACCUCCUUUCUUUUGGGCGUCCGGUGCCAGGCCUUUGCCUGCUGCCAACCCCUUAACCAUGGGGUGCUUUCCAUCUUGUCUGGACUCCAAAGGCCAGUAGGACCAUCGGGUACACCUCUUCCCCCUGCCGCUAGCCACGCUCCCUGCUGCUGCUAAGGUGAUAGAUUUAGGGUGGGAACCUGCUGGGGGCCCUCUCCUGCUCACACCCAGCCCCUGGUGGUCCUGGCUGCCCAGCACAGCCCGCAGCUCCCUGUCGCCUGCCAUCCCCUGGUCUGCCAUGCUGCAUAGUACCGGCCCCUCGUGUGCCUCCUCGCGCCUCUGCAUCUUUGCUCACCGUGCCCUCUGCCUGGCGUGCCCACUCCGUGUGUCUGCACCUGGCCCGCCUUUAAGACCGAACGGAGGAAUCACCCAGGAAUCCCAAGCCUCCGGUGGGCUGCAUGUCUGGACCCCACCUCACCCCCUGGGUGGUUAGUCCCUCUUGAACUCAUCAGCAUCCAAGGCCAAAGGCUGCAUUUUGUCUCUCUGGACUGCCAGAUCCUGGCCCAACCUUUGCUGAGCCCACCAUGGGAGGCUAAGCGGGACCACCCUCCAGUAGCCCAGCUUGGGGCUAGAUCGCGGGCUGGCCUUGUCCACGAUGAGCAGGCAUGACUGUGGCCCACGCCAUGGUGGGGUUCUCCAUCAGGGCCGAUGCCUCCCUCUGAAACCGACACCUCAUCUUCACCUAGCCCGGCCGGAGGCCGCCCCUGGAGCGUGGCCUUGGCUGUGUGCAGAGAUGUCUCAGUCCUGCUGACCACCGGACAGGCAGUCCUCAAACGCCACUGAGGCAACACAUGGCAUGCUUAUUUCGGCUCACAAUAUCUGCUGACCUCUUCCCCAGGAGGGACUCAGCUGGCUGGGGAGGCAACGUAGGGACAGUCCAUUGGGACGUGGCCACCUCAGUCUGGGAGUGAGAGCAUGUUCUUCCAUUCCUCUCCCUUUGGCCAGAACUGGACAUCUGGUCCCCCCGGCACGCGGUGGGGGUGCGGCGGGAAGGGCAGGCCCCACUGGAUGCCUGGCUCUGGGCCAGCUCACUGUCUCUGCCACGGGACUCCGGGCUCAGCGUGGGCACAGUACGUGACAGCUCUGUGCCCCAAAUUUCCCAACUUUUGAAGUCAGCACAAGAAAGCUAUCGUGGGGAUUAAUGUCCCACCAUCAUGAAAGUGGCUUUUGUGAGGGCUGGCCAAGGACGUAUUUGCCCUCAGUGGCCACUCGGCGUUCCACGGCAACAGAAGCGCCUGGAAGAGGCGUCAGUGACAGCUCAGGGUACUGCCCUCUGCUGCCAGAGCCCCACCCCUCCUCUCAGAGAGAGCUCCCCUUGACUCCUGCUCCUGGAGCCCGGGGUCGAAAGCCAGAAAAUCCAUGGAUGCCACGCCUCGCACGUGGCACACAGCCCAGGGCCCCACACGUGGCUCCCCUAGAGCCAGAGGGGGUGGCACCCAAUUUACGGUUGAGCAAAGAAAGGCCCGGGGACUUGCUUGGAUCAGGGCAGGGCGGGGCUCCAACCCCCGUUUCCGGCUUCCAGGCCGUCCCUCUGGGCUCCGCUCCAGGCCCCCUUCCCAGUGAAGAGGCCUCCUGCCCUGGCUCACGGCAAGUGUCGGCAGGAUGACAAAGGCUGGGCAGAACAUGUCCGAUGCGCUCGUGUGGCAGAAGCUAUUGGGACACAACGAGAAAACUCGAUAAACGGAGAUGUGAGAAUGCGGAUGGUGUCUCGGGGCCGAAACAGGUCUUGGGUAUCCUUGUUGAUUCAAGAGAGUAAAGCAGAGACCGGGGGGCUUGCAGUGUCCUGUCUCACCUGAUCUUCCACCUGAAGACGCAGAUAACUACAUUUGCAUGCUAGAUGGAGAAGUGCGAAUAUUCCCCACAGCGGCCAAAAGGUGAAGAAGCCAUGUGUCCAUCGACGGAUGCGUAAACAUAGUGGGAACCGCCACACAACAGAAUAUUACUCAGCCUUGAAAAAGAAAGGGAAUUCUGACACCUGCUACAACGUGGAUGGACCUUGAGAUUAUCAUGUGGAGUGAAGUAAUCCAACACAAAAGGACAAAUAUUGUAAGAUUCCACUGAUACAAGAUCCCCAGAGUCGUCAGAUUCAUGGAGACAGAAAGUAGGAUGG